rnacentral:rRNA from 1 species
ACGUUUGUAUGGCUGCGUUAGAGGUGAAAUUCAUGGAUCGUAGCCAGACAGACUAAAGCGAAAGCAUUCGUCAAGCAUGUUUUCAUUGGCCAUGAGCGAAAGUCAGAGGCUCGAAGACGAUCAGAUACCGUCCUAGUUCUGACCAUAAACGAUGCCAACUGACGAUCCGUGGCGGUAGUUUACAAACCUUCCCCACGGGCAGUCCCCGGGAAACCUUUAAGUCUUUGGGUUCCGGGGGAAGUAUGGUUGCAAAGCUGAAACUUAAAGGAAUUGACGGAAGGGCACCACCAGGAGUGGAGCCUGCGGCUUAAUUUGACUCAACACGGGAAAACUCACCCGGGCCGGACACUAUGAGGAUUGACAGAUUGAUAGCUCUUUCUUGAUUUGGUGGUUGGUGGUGCAUGGCCGUUCUUAGUUGGUGGAGCGAUUUGUCUGGUUAAUUCCGAUAACGAACGAGACUCCAGCCUGCUAAUUAGUGCAUUUGUCCACUGUACCAGCCGAGCGGCGCAGUGUCAACUGCUUUGGCUCAGUGUGGGAUUCGGUGCGUUUGUGCAUCCUGCGCGGUCAUGCUGCCUCGUGUGGCGUGGUUGGGUGGGGCUGUGCGCGGCGUACUUGGCCUGCAUGUUGUGCUCGGGCGGAUGGCACCACGUUAGCUAGCAGGUGCGGCGCGAAUGCUUACUUCUUAGAGGGACACGCGGGAGAAGCCGCACGAAAUAGAGCAAUAACAGGUCUGUGAUGCCCUUUAGAUGUCCGGGGCCGCACGCGCGCUACAAUGGCCGG